CGUACAGAGAACUUCAGGCACUGGAACAGUCAGAAGAGAAGAAAACAUACUGAUAUGAUUUAACUUCAGUCAUAACUCACGCACCCAAAAUGUAACAAAAGAACAACGCCAAGAACAAACUCCAGCAGCUACUGAUAAAAUUCGAAUGUAACUGCCACUGUGAAAAAGAAAGUUGUAAUAAGUCAGAAUGUUUAGAAGACUAAAGGGUGCAACGAAGCAAAUGAUAGUGUUCUCUGCGUUUGGUCAGCAGAAUGGGAGUCUGAUGGAGUAACAGAGGCUGGAAGCCAUGGGAUCAAAGGGAAGUAGGAUCUUCUCUGUAGUCAGUGAAGUCGCCAAGCUCAGGAAGAGAGACUAAAAGAAGAUGUAUGGGGACUCUCCUGUCUUUGUGGAGAAGAGCGAUGUGCCCUAUGAAGCUGAGUGAACAAGCUACCCUGCCAGCACAGGAAAACCUGGGCUGGGAAGAGAAAUCCAAGGGGAAAAUCGCUUCAGUCAUGGCUGGCCUCAGAGGGUUAAUCACAGAGGUGCAGGAGGCAUAUGGCCAAGAUCAAGUGGAAACCUGCGGAGACGAAUGCUGAACACACAGAUAAAAUCUCUGUAUUGCACGUAAUCCUGUCUUUUCUCUGAUUUGCCUGGGAAUCAUCUUGCAGUGCCCCUCUGGUGGGGGCUAUGCCACAUAGAAGUGCUCGUGUUCAGCUGUUUUGUGUAAUUCAUCCUUCACGGUCCGUGUUACUUAGUUUGUAGUUUUGUACAAGACCAAUUUAAAAAUAAACACAAGCCUUGCAGAGACCUGGCGCAGUCUGGUGUGAACAUGUUGCAGCAGCUGAGUUCCAGUCCCCUGAUAUUAAAGAAACUUCGUAUUCUACCAACACUUCCCCUGGAAAUCAUACAAAUGAAUUAAGAAGCUUUCGAAAUAAACUGUUUCUUAAACCCGAGAGCAAG